rnacentral:rRNA from 1 species
UUGAACGCUGGCGGCAGGCCUAACACAUGCAAGUCGAACGGUAACAGGAAGCAGCUUGCUGCUUCGCUGACGAGUGGCGGACGGGUGAGUAAUGUCUGGGAAACUGCCUGAUGGAGGGGGAUAACUACUGGAAACGGUAGCUAAUACCGCAUAACGUCGCAAGACCAAAGAGGGGGACCUUAGGGCCUCUUGCCAUCGGAUGUGCCCAGAUGGGAUUAGCUAGUAGGUGGGGUAACGGCUCACCUAGGCGACGAUCCCUAGCUGGUCUGAGAGGAUGACCAGCCACACUGGAACUGAGACACGGUCCAGACUCCUACGGGAGGCAGCAGUGGGGAAUAUUGCACAAUGGGCGCAAGCCUGAUGCAGCCAUGCCGCGUGUAUGAAGAAGGCCUUCGGGUUGUAAAGUACUUUCAGCGGGGAGGAAGGGAGUAAAGUUAAUACCUUGGCUCAUUGACGUUACCCGCAGAAGAAGCACCGGCUAACUCCGUG